CCUACGGGUGGCAGCAGUGGGGAAUCUUGGUCAAUGGAGGAAACUCUGAACCAGCAACGCCGCGUGAAUGAUGAAGGUCUUCGGAUUGUAAAGUUCUUUUCUAAGGGAAGAAGAAAGUGACGGUACCUUAGGAAUAAGCCUCGGCUAACUACGUGCCAGCAGCCGCGGUAAUACGUAGGAGGCGAGCGUUAUCCGGAAUGACUGGGCGUAAAGGGUGCGUAGGUGGUUUUACAAGUUCGUAGCGUAACUCCGAGGCUCAACCUCGACACUACUACCAAAACUGUCGAACUUGAGUGCAGGAGGGGAAAGUGGAAUUCCUAGUGUAGCGGUGGAAUGCGCAGAUAGUAGGAGGAACACCGGUGGCGAAGGCGAAUUGCUGGACUGUAACUGACACUGAGGCACGAAAGCGUGGGGAGCAAACAGGAUUAGAUACCCCGGUAGUC
rnacentral:rRNA from 1 species